GAUGAACGCUGGCGGCGUGCUUAACACAUGCAAGUCGAACGAAGCACUUAAGAUUGAUUCUUCGGAUGACGUCUUUUGUGACUUAGUGGCGGACGGGUGAGUAACGCGUGGGUAACCUGCCUCACACAGGGGGAUAACAGUUAGAAAUGACUGCUAAUACGGCAUAACCCGAUAGGAUCGCAUGAUCCAGACGGAAAAGAUUUAUCGGUGUGAGAUGGACCCGCGUCUGAUUAGCUAGUUGGUGAGGUAACGGCCCACCAAGGCGACGAUCAGUAGCCGGGCUGGGGAGGGUGACGGGCACAAUUGGACUGAGGCACCGCCCAAACUUCUACGGGAAGCAGCAGGUGGGGAUAUUGGACAAUGGGGGGAACCCUGAUGCAGCGGCGGCGCGGGAAUUGAAAAGUAAUUCGGUAAGUUAAGCUCCAACAGCAAGGAAGAAAAUGACGGUACCUGACUAAGAAGCCCCGGCUAACUACGUG
rnacentral:rRNA from 1 species